AAGUGAUAUGGAUGCUGAAAUUUUUAUUUCACUUCUUCAACAACUACCAGUGCUGUGGAACUAAUUCUGUGAUGCAAACUUCUGCUCAAAGAGAAGCAAUGGUCACAGGUGCACGAUGUCAUCAUUGAGCAUAUUGCCACGGACUGUGUUAUUAACGGCAACAUUCCUUAUUUGAAAUUAUUACUGAACGAGAUCGGGGAGGUCAAGCAAAUCUCCAACUGGUUCAUCGAGGGGCGGAUUUUGAGCGACUUAAUCGAGCCGAAUGAGAAGUUUGACCUGACCCGGGACACGAUCGACGACGAGACCGAGGCACUCAAGCCCAAACUGUCCUAUAUGUGCUCUGUGGUCAAAAUGUUCCCUUGCCCGACGCCAAAGCAUCGGUUCUGUCAGAACGAAAUUCCAGAUUAUCUGAUUCGGUCAUUCUUUGCUCCGGAUAAGCGUAUUGAUAGCUGUGAUGCGAAUUGGGCUCGAGAAGCUGCCCCUGCCCCAGGAUUACGUGCUCGAGGAAUUGCGGCAUAUGUUGAGCGCGUUCUUGGACGAGGAUCAGCGGAAGCAGCAAAGGAAUAGUGU